rnacentral:lncRNA from 1 species
GGGAUCAUAGAACUGCACCAAUACACUCAUCAAUCCUUCGUCCACUUGAGUAGUCAUAAUAGAUAGAAGCUUCCCAAAACGAGACUUGAAACCCAAGGGAUCUAAUACAUAGGAUGUCAAAUUCCUUAGCUCUUUCAAGUCAGGUUGUCUAAAAUUGUACUUCUUCGUAUUCCUUCUUUGUCUUUCCAUGUCUGAAAAUUUUCAAAUAGACCUCUUAAGUUCCUUGAAAAUUUUCUUAUUAUUGAUGGUAUGGAUGCAAAUGGGUGCAUGAAUGCAUGAAUGC